UGUCUUUCAAUUAUAGACAAU
rnacentral:piRNA from 1 species